UAAGAUUGGCACUAAUAGUACUUGCAAAAACCGACCAAGUGUGAUUGCUAAUUUGGUGUAUAUAUCUUGUCUAAUAUUCCUUUCCUCCUACCCCAAUAAAAAUCUAACUUCACAAAAUGAGCUGAUGCUUGGUAAGGCCUUAGGCCUGUGCUGUAUAUCAACCCAACUUUAACCUUCCUCCACACGAUCGAGUAGUAAAUGUUCUGUUUUCAGUGGAUUUUUUGGACCUACUUCACUUUCCAAUAGUUACUGAAGAAUAUAUACAGUCGUAAGAAUAUAUACUACAUGAUAUUUGAGUUUGAUCAACUUAUUGUUUCAUCUUAUGCAGAUAAUCAAUCGACAGCAACCUUUCUGCAAAAGCCUAAAGGACUACAAAAUGUGAUUCUAGCUAGUCUAGCUAUGGAGAAAAAUCAAAGAGCAGCAGAGACUAUUGACAAUUCGGAAUCAUUUUAUACCAUGCACUACUACAAAGUGAAGACUACUGUUCAUGCAGUGUACUUUUACAACCUUUACGUCACUUUCAUUCCCACUUUCAGCUCAAGAAUAUAUAUAUAUAUAUAUAUAUAUAUAUAUAUAUGGGUUCUCAUCCGCGCUGGCCACGAACACUAUUCCGACAACCAUAAUCCUAAUCGUUGAUUGUAAUUCCAUAAAUUGAUGCACUUAAUUUGGCUAGUGAGAGUUAUCUUGAAUCAGUGCCUAAUUCUUGCCAAAUGUCUCAAUGUAUGAUGAGGUCAACUUGAGUGCACUUACCAAGCAAAGGAAAAGUCAGCUUUUACUAUCUUCUUAAUUCUUUUAAUAGCAUCCCCUCCUUCCCCCCACCCCACCCCACUUAGUCGUCCACUUUCAUAUUUGUCAUAUCGGUUUUAAUUUCAUGAGUUGAAGUAUCUGAAACAUGCAUGUUACCAUAUGUACACAUACAUUACUUAAUCACCAGCUAGAGCGGUGGUCCAGUCCAAUGGUUUUACCCAAGGUCCGGGACACCUCUAACUGUUAAAUCCCCAUUGCACAUUUUAUCAACACCCUCGAUCACUUUGGAGGAAUAUUAUUAUUAUCAAGUAUGAAUAAAUUUUUGAAUUAGGAUUCUUAAACUGCAUUAUAUAAUUAAAUAA
rnacentral:lncRNA from 1 species